rnacentral:rRNA from 1 species
GACGAACCGUGCGAACGUUGUUCGGAAUCACUGGGCUUAAAGGGCGCGUAGGCGGUCUGCCAAGUCGGUGGUGAAAUCUUUCGGCUUAACCGGAAAAGUGCCUUCGAUACUGGCGGACUUGAGGGAGGUAGGGGCAGAUGGAACUUCCGGUGGAGCGGUGAAAUGUGUUGAUAUCGGAAGGAACGCCGGUGGCGAAAGCGAUCUGCUGGACCUCUACUGACGCUGAGGCGCGAAAGCCAGGGGAGCAAACGGG